UAUAACACAUGAAAAGCAAAGGAAAAAUAACUUAUAUAGAAUUACAAAGAGAAUGAUCGAGUGAAUGCUUACUGGAAGACGAAGAAUGCUGAGACGGAAGCUCCAUUCCGAGCAGCAGUUUUCUGUUUCUCUAAACACAGAGAGAAGGAGAGAGACAGAGGGGGAGGAAACUGACAAGUUAAGAAAGCGGGAAAGCCUUUUUAGGGAGAGAGAUUUUGAUAACACCAGUCGUUUUUUUGCUAGUGACAGAGGUACACAAUCUUAUGCCUGUUGUAUAAGCUGAAAUAGAAUACGAUAUCCGUACACGUCGU
rnacentral:lncRNA from 1 species